AUGCCUGUACAGGCAGCUCAAUGGACAGAAUUUCUGUCCUGUCCAAUCUGCUAUAAUGAAUUUGAUGAGAAUGUGCACAAACCCAUCAGUUUAGGUUGUUCACACACUGUUUGCAAGACCUGCUUGAAUAAACUUCACCGAAAAGCUUGUCCUUUUGACCAGACUGCCAUCAACACAGACAUUGAUGUGCUUCCUGUCAAUUUUGCACUUCUCCAGUUAGUUGGAGCCCAGGUACCAGAUCAUCAGUCAAUAAAGUUGAGUAAUCUAGGUGAGAAUAAACACUAUGAAAUUGCAAAGAAAUGUGUUGAAGAUUUGGCACUCUACUUAAAACCACUAAGUGGAGGAAAAGGUGUAGCUAGUUUGAACCAGAGUGCACUGAGCCGGCCAAUGCAAAGGAAACUGGUGACACUUGUCAACUGUCAACUGGUAGAAGAAGAAGGUCGUGUAAGAGCCAUGCGAGCAGCCCGUUCACUUGGAGAAAGAACUGUAACAGAACUGAUAUUACAGCACCAGAACCCCCAGCAAUUGUCUGCCAACCUGUGGGCUGCAGUCAGGGCUCGAGGAUGCCAGUUUCUAGGGCCAGCUAUGCAAGAAGAGGCCUUGAAACUGGUGUUGCUGGCAUUAGAAGAUGGUUCUGCUCUCUCAAGGAAAGUUCUGGUACUUUUUGUUGUGCAAAGACUAGAACCAAGAUUUCCUCAGGCAUCAAAAACAAGCAUUGGUCAUGUUGUGCAACUACUGUAUCGAGCUUCUUGUUUUAAGGUCACCAAAAGGGAUGAAGACUCUUCCCUGAUGCAACUGAAGGAGGAAUUUCGGAGUUACGAAGCGUUACGCAGAGAACAUGAUGCCCAGAUUGUUCAUAUUGCUAUGGAAGCAGGACUUCGUAUUUCACCAGAGCAGUGGUCCUCACUUCUAUAUGGUGACUUAGCACAUAAAUCACACAUGCAGUCUAUCAUUGAUAAGCUCCAGUCUCCAGAAUCAUUUGCAAAGAGUGUCCAGGAACUGACAAUUGUUUUACAACGAACAGGUGACCCAGCCAACUUAAAUAGACUGAGGCCUCAUUUAGAGCUUCUUGCAAACAUAGAUCCUAACCCAGAUGCUGUUUCACCAACUUGGGAGCAGCUAGAAAAUGCAAUGGUAGCUGUUAAAACAGUGGUUCAUGGGCUUGUAGAUUUCAUACAGAAUUAUAGUAGAAAAGGCCAUGAAACACCUCAGCCUCAGCCAAACAGUAAAUACAAGACUAGCAUGUGCCGAGAUCUACGACAGCAAGGGGGGUGUCCACGAGGAACAAAUUGUACAUUUGCCCAUUCUCAGGAAGAACUUGAAAAGUAUCGAUUAAGGAACAAAAAGAUCAAUGCAACUGUAAGAACAUUUCCUCUUCUAAAUAAAGUUGGUGUAAACAACACUGUCACAACCACAGCCGGAAAUGUCAUUUCUGUCAUAGGAAGUACUGAAACAACUGGGAAAAUUGUUCCAAGUACAAAUGGAAUUACAAAUGCAGAAAACAGUGUUUCUCCACUAAUCCCACGUAGUACUGACAGUACAUUAAGAGGCCUGGAGACCGUGAAGAAAGUGGGGAAAGUUGGCACUAAUGGUCAGAAUGCUGCUGGGCCUUCUGCAGAGUCUGUAACUGAAAAUAAAAUUGGUUCUCCACCCAAGACUCCUGUAAGUAAUAUAGCAGUUACCUCAGCUGGGCCCCCUAAUGUUGGAACAGAGCUGAAUUCUGUGCCUCCAAAAUCCAGCCCAUUUGUAACUAGAGUACCAAUAUAUCCUCAGCAUUCUGAAAACAUUCAGUAUUUUCAAGAUCCAAGGACUCAGAUACCCUUUGAAGUACCACAAUACGCACAGACUGGAUACUACCCACCACCUCCAACGGUACCAGCUGGUGUGGCUCCCUGCGUUCCUCGCUUUGUGAGGUCCAAUAAUGUACCAGAGUCCUCCCUCCCACCUGCUUCCGUGCCGUAUGCCGAUCAUUACAGUACAUUUUCCCCUCGAGAUCGAAUGAAUUCUUCUCCUUACCAACCUCCUCCUCCGCAGCCGUAUGGACCAGUUCCUCCAGUACCUUCUGGAAUGUAUGCUCCUGUGUAUGACAGCAGGCGCAUCUGGCGCCCACCUAUGUACCAACGAGAUGACAUUAUUAGAAGCAAUUCUUUACCUCCAAUGGAUGUGAUGCAUUCGUCUGUCUAUCAGACGCCUUUGCGGGAAAGAUACAACUCAUUAGAUGGGUAUUAUUCAGUGGCUUGUCAGCCACCAAGUGAGCCAAGGACAACCGUGCCUUUACCAAGGGAACCUUGUGGUCAUUUGAAGACCAGUUACGAGGAGCAGAUAAGAAGAAAGCCAGAGCAGUGGGCACAGUACCACACUCAGAAAGCACCUCUUGUCUCUUCAGCUCUUCCUGUGGCAACACAGUCACCAACACCGCCUUCUCCUCUAUUCGCUGUAGACUUUCGCACUGAUUUCUCUGAGAGUGUGAGUGGUACAAAAUUUGAAGAAGAUCAUCUUUCCCAUUAUUCUCCCUGGUCUUGUGGCACCAUAGGUUCCUGUAUAAAUGCCAUCGAUUCAGAGCCCAAAGAUGUAAUUGCUAAUUCAAAUGCUGUGUUAAUGGACCUGGACAGUGGAGAUGUUAAGAGAAGAGUACAUUUAUUUGAAACUCAGAGAAGAGCAAAAGAAGAAGACCCAAUAAUUCCUUUUAGUGACGGACCUAUCAUCUCAAAAUGGGGUGCAAUUUCCAGAUCUUCUCGUACAGGUUACCAUACCACAGAUCCUGUCCAGGCCACUGCUUCCCAAGGAAGUGCGACUAAGCCCAUCAGCGUAUCAGAUUAUGUCCCUUAUGUUAAUGCUGUUGAUUCAAGGUGGAGUUCAUAUGGCAAUGAGGUCACGUCAUCAGCACACUAUGUUGAACGGGACAGAUUCAUUGUUGCUGAUUUAUCUGGACAUAGAAAGCAUUCCAGUACUGGAGACCUUUUGAGCAUUGAACUUCAGCAGGCCAAGAGUAACUCAUUACUUCUUCAGAGAGAGGCCAAUGCUCUGGCCAUGCAACAGAAGUGGAAUUCCUUGGAUGAAGGUCGUCAUCUUACUUUAAAUCUUCUAAGCAAGGAAAUUGAAUUAAGAAAUGGAGAGAAUGAUUAUACAGAAGAUACAACAGAUACUAAGCCUGAUAGGGAUAUUGAAUUAGAACUUUCAGCACUUGAUACAGAUGAACCUGAUGGACAAGGUGAACAAAUUGAAGAGAUCCUGGACAUACAACUUGGUAUCAGUUCUCAAAAUGAUCAGUUGCUGAAUGGAACAGCAGUGGAAAAUGGACAUCCAGUUCAGCAGCACCAAAAGGAGCCACUAGAGCAGAAGAGACAGAGUUUAGGUGAAGACCAUGUGAUUCUGGAGGAGCAAAAAACAAUUCUGCCGGUAACUUCUUGCUUUAGCCAGCCACUUCCAGUGUCCAUUAGCAAUGCAAGUUGCCUCCCCGUCACCACAUCUGCCAGUGUUGGCAACCUCAUCCUGAAAACUCAUGUUAUGUCUGAGGAUAAAAAUGACUUUUUAAAACCUGUUGCAAAUGGGAAAAUGGUUAACAGCUGAAAGGAGGUUCAUCUUUCAAAUUGGUGACCACACCAUGGAAGCAUUUACACUAGCUUUUUAUAUAUAUAAUAUAUAUUAUAUAAUGUAUAUUUUUUUUAAAAAAAAAGAUAUUACUGGGGCAUCCAUUUCCUGUGGACUCUUUGAUACUUCAAGCCCUCUUGCAUUAGCAUUCUGAAAAGAAAAAAAAAAAAGAAAAUUUACUUUACUAGGGUAACGUUCACUUUCCAGAAGUGAUUGGAAUUUGGACAACAUUUAACUUAAGCUUCAAGCAGCUUUUUAUGAGUUUUUAGCAAUCCGGUGCAGUAACUGAGCCAUUUCCUAUUUAAAUGGCUUCUAUAGAAAAUUAACAACUCAGUUAUUAAACUAGCAGGAUCCUACGAUGAUACAUCUAGUGAAAGUAGACUUAAUUAACUUAUUUAUUUCUAUUUUAUGUUUCACUGAGAGAAAUUUCCAUCUCAUUCCAGCUGCUUUAUUUAUCUUUUGUCAUGGGACUUUGCAUGGAUUUUUUUUUUUUUUUUUUUUUAAACUUUGGAGAGUGGAAUUAGACAUUAUCCAUAGAAUUUUACAGGGUUAUACACUAGCUUUCUUUACUGCAUUAUAUGUAGGAGUGUGGUGCAGUGCUUUUAUCUGUAGCGUUUAAAUUUUUUUUAAUUUUCCAUUUUUCAAGAAUAGUUUCUGCUUUAUUACUAUUAAUGUUUAUACACAGGCUACUUGUUGAAGUAAGUAAUUAAAAAUAUAACCAAGUGCCUAAGUCUUUCAGCUGAUGUACUAGAUAUUAAAUUCUCCUAAGUUAUGCAGAAUCGUUUUUACAAUUUUGAUAAAUUAUGCACUAAUGUAAUGGCAGUUUUUUAAAUGCAGAUUUAAGCCUGUACAUUGUUGAAUCUGAUGACUUGGCAAAAGAAUCAGGUGCUUUCAGCUUUCUUGAGAAAACCCUGUAUGUAGCGUUUGCACUGACUAACAAGAUGGUAUUGCUGGGUUUUUUAAUUUGAACUAAUUGAUUUGGAUGCUCAUUGCAUUAUCUUGGUUUAAUAUUGUUUAUUGUUACUUCAUGUUCAGGUUUAAUUUUGCUCGUUUUCUGACUGUUAGUUUGAGAAGACUAUGAACCAUGUAAUAAUAGAACAUUGGCUAACCUUUAUUCAUUCUUAACAACAUGAAUAAUUUCUGCCCUCUUAAAAUGUGACUGAAAAUUGUUUUGACUUGGCAUCUGAAAGUAUGCAGUAUGUUCAAUCAGUCAUGCCCAGAAUUUGUGGGAAGUAUUUUAUUGAAGCCUGAAUUUCAGUCAACAUUUUGCAAACAAAAGUUGGGCAUUCCUUUCUGGUGAUCUUACCUAGUUUGUCUUUUUGUUUUUCCUUCGUUUCUUUAAGAUUAGUUUGACUUUUAUUAUUAUUAUUAUUAUUUUUAAAUUAACUUCUGUGAAGUUGUUUACUCUGAAAAUUGUACUGGAAUAUUUUAAGCCAAGCUGAUCUUUCACCAGGUGUACUGUAUGUAAGGGCUUUUCCUGCUAGCAAGAUGCUUAAACAGGAUCAUGUUAUUGGUCGUCUGAGCUAUUUAGUUGUUUUACAAAACCACAGCAUUGUAUCAGAUAAGAUUUUGAUAAAAAGUUUUGUGCACAUUUCCAGGGGUGGGAGGGUUGACAUUUCCCUGAAAUUUCUUGAUCAGAAUGAGUAAAUAAAUGGUGUUUGAUACCUGUCUUAAUGAACAUGCUCAUAAGGUGACUGAUAAGUUGUAAAUAUACCUGAGAAACAAAGGGGGUAGUUUUGAUAUUCUGGUGUCAGUAUGGAAGAUCUUACACAUUUAUUUAAUACUCAAAUAUAUGAAGAUGUUUGUUUGUAGUGUAACAGCACAGUAGCCUUGACUUAGUUUCCUUUGGUUAGUGUUGUACCUUUUUGAUAUGGCCAGUGCUCCCCAUCUCUACAAAGACAUUUUAUUUAUUUCACUGUGUAACCUGAAAUGAAUAGGAACGAGAGUUUUAAACCAUGUUACAUUAACUUAUUUAUGACAUUAUAAAUUAGCCUAGGAUAUUACAAGAACAUGAUUGUUAUAUAAUUUAUAUCAGAACCUUUCUAUAAAUACGUGCUUAUUACAUUUGAAAUGCUUCCAAUGUACUUUCUUUGCUGUUUGUAAUUCCAAAAAGGAUAGGCAAACCAGUAUGUCUAUUUCAUGGAUAUUUAAAUAAUGAGAUCUUCCAUGUUGAAGGUAAUGUAUUUUUUUUUAAGAUUUUAAAAUGGCUAUUUUGUUACAAAAUAGAGACCUAUAAACAGUUUGAGAGCUCCUUAUGUGCCCUCAGGGAAAGAACCCUCUGUGCAACAGAACUACAUAAAAAACAUCUUCAGCACGUUCUGAGGGUGAAUAUAUACUACAUAAAUUGAUCUUGUGUAUUUAACCUAUCUUUUUAAUUUUAAAAUUGAAAAUUUGAAACUUGGUUGUGCUCUGCUGGAGGGGUUGGGAUAAACUGCUUAGGUGUUUGCCUACUUGUCCAGUGAAAUUACAUUUGCAUCAGUGUAUGUAUAUACCUGCCAACCUUAUUGGUGUGUCUCAGAACAUUUAUAUUAAAAUAAUGCUUGUCUUGCAGCAGGUGAUCCCAUAAAACAAUACUUCCCUGUUCUUAAAAAUUCACUCUCAUUCUCACUAACAACAUAGAACUGCUUUUGUGUUGGGAUUAUUCUGUAUUGCAUUCUUUUUCUAUGUAGUGGCCACCUUCUGUUUGUCACAGUGGGUUGAAUGUGAAGUAAAUACAUUGGUUCUCUGAUACUUUAGAAGAAAAAGUACGUUACCUGAUCCUUCCUCAAAAGGGUACCCACUGAUGUCAUAGAGGAAAAGUUACAAAUCAGACCUGUGAUGUGACUUUUUAAAUUUGGUGUUUGGUUAUGUCUGUAAUUUGACCCUUUUACCAACACAUUUUGAUCUAUAUAUGUUUGGAAUUAAAGGACAUAAAGCAACAGGAGAGGAAAUUGGUAAUGUUGGUAACUAAUGUGCAUACCUUGCCUACGGCCUAAUAAUCAGGACAAAGGCUGCAGCCUGGAGAGCAGGAAAGUGGUGUUUUUUUCUCUCAUUUUUUGUUUUUCAAUUUCUAACCCCCAUUUCGAAGUCCUUGUGCCUCAUUCAGAUACUACGGACUUAGCAUCAAUAGUUCUCUUUCAUAAUCUCAUUUCAUUUUAUAAAUCCUGAGAAAAUUACACAUGUAUUUCUUCUAGUUGGUACUUGAGCAAAGCAGAUUCCUUUGCUUUUGCUGCCAUGACUUACUUUCAGUGCCGUAUGAUGAACCAGUGGCAUACAUGAAAGUUGUGCGUUGUGAUUUUCAAGAGAAGGUAGUUCAUUAGGCCAGUGCACUGAUCAUUUUCCUAGUAGCUAUUUACUGUAGUAAGAGAAUAAUAAAAGAAACCUCCCAUACUAGAACUGAAAUUUUCCAGUUAUAUGGACCUAGUUCAUUCAGAUUUCAAGUUGAUGCUAAAUAUAUAAAGCAUAUCCCAACUUUAUAUGCUGCCUUGAAAAAAUUACAGGAUGCAUAGCAAUUUGUAGGUAUUUAAAAUGGGAUAAUUCAGACAUUUAAAAAAAUUGUUUUAAAAAUCAUCUAGCUUGCUUUUGCAUUUUAGGUGUUAAAUCCCAUGUUUUGUUAAUGGGUGGAAUUUAUACAGAUCAGAUUCAGCAUGUAAUUUCAAUUUGGAAUCUGAGUAUUUCUUCCCUAGCUUCUUCUGAAAAGACUGUCACCAGCAUUGGUAACUAAUUAUUAAAGGGAAAAGUUGCAUUGCAACUACGUAUGUUUCCUGGAAGAACUUUUCUUGUGUUUUAGUGAAUGAAGAGUGUUGAUGGGAUCACUUACUGUAACUCUUACAUAGGGACCCCUUCUGCAAAGCAGAACACAAAUGAAUAUGCUCAAGGAGUAUCCCAUUUUCUGCUUAGUGAAUACAUUAGCUAGUAACUCCUUUAUACUAGCAGUUUCUUUGUAUCUCUUUGCUGGCAAGGAAAUACAAGGAGUCAAAGCCACAGACCAGAACAUCCCAUAAUUUGAGUGUAGUCCUAUUUUUACUCCAAGAGCAGUUACUCCCCCAAGUCUAAAAUCGGCAGUUUUUUGUUUUUGUUUUUAAUAAAAAUUUUAAAAUAGCCCCAAACCAGUGGAACACAGACACUGGCUGCACUUAGUACUGCCAAAAACCAAGGUCAUUUGCACAUAUUCAUCAACCUUUCAAGAAUUAGUCCUCACUUUAUAACCCAAGGCAUGGAAGUGCAUGCAUUCUCUUAGCUGGGCAAACAAUUAUACUGUAGUUGUGAUACAACACAUGUGGCUUUUAUUUGUACUGCACAUAUCCACUGUACAGCCACUUGGGAGUAUCGUGGUUAGCUUGCAGCAACUGCUGUCUGCAUUUAUACUGUUUAUUGCAUAUUCUUUUCCCUGGAAGUGAAAGAGAAAUGUUUUUCUUGUUGCGUUGAUUACAUUUUAUAAAUUUGCUUAGCUGGAAAGUUUGGGAAAAGAGGCCUGUUUGUCAAUUGUACAACCGAUUGUGAAGCUCUAGUGUGAAUAUUUUUACGUCUGUAUUAGACAUUUUCUUUGCAAAUCUAUUGUUCGAUUGAAAUGUAAAUGAAAUUAAAGAUGGUGUACACCCAUCAUGUAAAAAGCAGGCACCAUCUCUAAGAUGGAUUUAAUGCUCAUUUUUAAGGCAUAUACUCAGCUUCUAUUUAAAAUUAUAAUUUAAAAUAAUUCUGUACAAUGAAAUGGAGAAUAUAUGGGAAUAAAUUCUAUUCCAUUUAUUUCAAUUUGAAUUUCCAAAUUGUAAUGUUUCCCUUUGUGCUAUAGGAAUAGGAUUAAAUGGGGAAAGGCUAGGAGUUAUAAGGCUUGUAUAUGGGGGGAGGGCAGAGAUGGAACAAUGAGGGUUGUGAUGAUAGUGAAUAGCAAAGAGUGAAUUCUGUUGUGUUUUUGUUGUAGCACUGAAGUGACGAGAUACUAGCUUUGGCUGUUCACAGAAUAGAGCAUCAUGAUUUUCAGUGUUUGAGAGAAAAUUGAUGGAAAAAGUUUGCAGUACUUGACAUGUAUUUGCAUGCACAAAAUAAAAUUAUUUGUCCACCU